GCCGGCCGUGGAUCAAGCAGUGUGGGAGGCCCCAUUCACAACUAAAUGUCGACAGGAUUAACAAAAACACCUACGUUUGCUCCAAGCAUUUUGUUAAUCGACGGCCUACCCCGGAGUACCCCAAUCCGAUCGCGGCUCUCCCGGGGUUACUUCUAAGGAGGGAACAUCAGGGGGCUUGCCGGAGAUCUCCAAGGAAAAGGAAGCCAGCACCUCAAACUCCACUGAGGACACAUUUCACAGUACAUCACAACAGAGUGACUCUACCUAUGGUAAGUUUAAACCGCUAUUUGUAUCUGUUUUUAGUUACUGAUUGCAACUGGGAAGGAAGUAAUCAAAGAAAAACAAAUCUAAUUUGUCUUUCAU
rnacentral:lncRNA from 1 species